rnacentral:rRNA from 1 species
CCUACGGGGGGCUGCAGUGGGGGAUAUUGGACAAUGGGGGGAACCCUGAUCCAGCGACGCCGCGUGAGUGAAGAAGUAUUUCGGUAUGUAAAGCUCUGUCAGCAGGGAAGAAAGCAAUGACGGUACCUGACCAAGAAGCCCCGGCUAACUACGUGCCAGCAGCCGCGGUACUACGUAGGGGGCAAGCGUUAUCCGGAAUUACUGGGUGUAAAGGGGGGGUAGACGGCUGUGCAAGUCUGGAGUGAAAGGCGGGGGCCCAACCCCCGAACUGCUCUGGAAACUGGAUGGCGGGAGUGCAGGAGAGGGGAGCGGAAUUCCUAGUGUAGCGGUGAAAUGCGUAGAUAUUAGGAGGAAUACCAGUGGCGAAGGCGGCUGAGUGGACUGGAACUGACGUUGAGGCUCGAAAGCGUGGGGAGCAAACAGGAUUAGAUACCCUAGUAGUC